UUACAUAUUUUCAUAUUUGAAAGACUUGCUAAGACCUUCAUUUUUCAAGUUUCGAUUGGCUUGUCACUUCACUAUAUAUAUUCUGAGAAAGAGACGAAAACCACAAAUAGUAUUAAAGUUACGAAAUAUUAAAAAUAACUUUUUCUCAACAUGUUCAAUAUUAAAUUUGCUGCUGUAUUACGCCCAUGGCUCUGUUUGCUCACGAGCAAAAAAACACGAAAAACCUUUGCUUCCUGUUACAAUAGCAUUUGAAUCAAAUUUUCUUUAUUUCUUUCUUGACAAAUGUCUCUGGAUUCUAAAUUUGCAGGUUAUAAAUCUCUUUUCAACUAGUGUCGCUGUUUGUCAAAUAUUGCAUCUUUGCUUUUUAUUGAAAGCAUUAUGACAACAAAGAAAAAAUCAUUUUUUUGUAUUAGCCAAGAAUAAAUUCCACAGAUACAUAGAGUAUAAAAAGGAAAAACAGAAAGAUGACUUCUACACUAGCUAUCAAACGCUUAAAAGAGUGCGCAAGAUUCAAGAGACAAAGGCACAAAAUUUGAGUGAGGAUGUACACUUUGAAAUAUUAUCUGGCAUUUAUGUUUGCACUGCUAUGUGUGCUUGGUGUUGCUAACAGUCGAUCUUUGGGAAAAGAAAAACUUGAGGAAAAAGAAGACGCACGAAAUUCUUUGGAAGCUGACGAAGAGACAUUUCUUUUUUCUCGAGAAUAUGAGGAUUGCCUCCAGAAAGCUUCUUCUUGCUUCAGAAGCAACGUGGCUGCCGCUUGCUAUGCAACGUUGAAUCGGUGCAUGGGGAAAAAGAAAUGAAGAAAAGUUGUAUCAUUGAACUGCAAAACAAUGGGUGGAAAUUAUUCUAGAACUGUUAUUAGUCGACUCACCUUAUGAAGCAUAGUCAGUUACUUCAGUUUGUAAAUCACAAAAAGAGUUCGUCAUAAA